UACGAAGGGGGCUAGCGUUGUUCGGAAUUACUGGGCGUAAAGCGAACGUAGGCGGUGUUCCGUGUCAGAGGUGAAAGCCUGGGGCUCAACUCCAGAAUUGCCUUUGAAACGGGGACGCUUGAGUCCGAGAGAGGGUGGCGGAAUUCCUAGUGUAGAGGUGAAAUUCGUAGAUAUUAGGAAGAACACCAGUGGCGAAGGCGGCCACCUGGCUCGGUACUGACGCUCAGGUUCGAAAGCGUGGGGAGCAAACAGG
rnacentral:rRNA from 1 species